GUCUGCAGACUCGUGAAUGACGUCUACCGCGUGUAUAAUCGACACCAGUAUCCAUUUGUUGUUCUUAACAUUUCUGUUGAUUCAGGUAACUUAAUAAAAAUGCAUGCAGCGGAUUUGGAAAAGCCCAUGGUAGAAAAGCAGGAUCAAUCCCCUUCAUUAAGGACUGGAGAAGAAAAAAGGGACGUGUCCAUUUCCAGACUGCGAGAGGCCUUUUCUCUUCGUCACACAACAGAGAACAAGCCUCACAGCCCAAAGACUCCAGAACCAAGAAGGAGCCCUCUAGGACAGAAAAGGGGUAUGUCGUCUUCUAGCACUUCAGAUGCCAUCUCUGACAAAGGCGUCCUGAGACCUCAGAAAGAGGCAGUGAGUUCCAGUCAGGGACCCAGUGACCCUACGGACAGAGCGGAGGUGGAGAAGGACUCGGGGCAUGGCAGCACUUCCGUGGAUUCUGAGGGGUUCAGCAUCCCAGACACGGGCAGUCACUGCAGCAGCGAGUGUGUGGCCAGCACCCCAGGGGACAGGGGCUCGCAGGAACAUGUGGACUCUCAGGAGAAAGCGCCUGAAACUGACGACUCUUUUUCAGAUGUGGACUGCCAUUCAAACCAGGAAGAUACCGGAUGUAAAUUUCAGGUUUUGCCUCAGCCAACUAAUCUCACAUCCCCAAACACAAAAGUGUUUUAAGAAAGAAGAAAUUCUUUCCAAUUCUGACAUUCGUCAAAAGUUAGUAAAUACUCAGAACGUGUCAGCUUCUCAGGUUGAUGUAGCUGUGAAAAUUAAUAAGAAAGUUGUGCCCCUGAACUUUUCUGAGUUCUUUAGCUAAACGAAUAAAGCAGUUACAUCAUGAAGCACAGCAAAGUGAAGGGGAACAGAAUUACAGGAAGUUUAGGGCAAGGAUUUGUCCUGGAGAAAAUCAAGCAGCCGAAGAUGAACUAAGAAAAGAGAUAAGUAAAACGAUGUUUGCAGAAAUGGAAAUCAUUGGUCAGUUUAACCUGGGAUUUAUAAUAACCAAACUGAAUGAGGAUAUCUUCAUAGUGGACCAGCAUGCCACGGACGAGAAGUAUAACUUCGAGAUGCUGCAGCAGCACACCGUGCUCCAGGGGCAGAGGCUCAUAGCACCUCAGACUCUCAACUUAACUGCUGUUAAUGAAGCUGUUCUGAUAGAAAAUCUGGAAAUAUUUAGAAAGAAUGGCUUCGAUUUUGUUAUCGAUGAAAAUGCUCCAGUCACUGAAAGGGCUAAACUGAUUUCCUUGCCAACUAGUAAAAGCUGGACCUUCGGACCCCAGGACGUCGAUGAACUGAUCUUCAUGCUGAGCGACAGCCCUGGGGUCAUGUGCCGGCCUUCCCGAGUCAAGCAGAUGUUUGCCUCCAGAGCCUGCCGGAAGUCGGUGAUGAUUGGGACUGCUCUUAACACAAGCGAGAUGAAGAAACUGAUCACCCACAUGGGGGAGAUGGACCACCCCUGGAACUGUCCCCAUGGAAGGCCAACCAUGAGACACAUCGCCAACCUGGGUGUCAUUUCUCAGAACUGACCGUAGUCACUGUAUGGAAUAAUUGGUUUUAUCGCAGAUUUUUAUGUUUUGAAAGACAGAGUCUUCACUAACCUUUUUUGUUUUAAAAUGAAACCUGCUACUUAAAAAAAAUACACAUCACACCCAUUUAAAAGUGAUCUUGAGAACCUUUUCAAACCAGAUGGAGCAUUGCUUGCAAAUUUUUUUUCUCUAUGUUUGCAUGCGCUCGU